CAAUAUCAUACAUAUCUGUGUUAUCUUGUUCUGUGGUAAUAUAAUAUAUUUUUUUUCAUGAUAGUAUUUGAAAAACGAUAUGAUAAAGCAAGUGUCGCGAGUCUUUUCUUGACUUCUUGUCAAAUCACUCAAAUGUCAAUUAAUACUAGACAGUAGACACUGUUUAGUCUAGUCAAUCCUUAAUAGUGUUAUCUAUAUGUGUACUUUUAUGUCUAUUAUCUCUAUAGUCUGAAUAGUUGUGCCUCGCCAGUUUGUAGUUAAUAGUUAUGGUUGAACAUUUGAACGUUUGAACUUUUUUGGUGUGUUUAAUAUUUAAUGUUUUGCUCUUUAACAGUUUAGCGAUUGUUUUGGCGUUGGUGUAUAUUUUUUCAAAAUUUAAUUUGUCCCUCUGUCUACUCCCUUCGGAAGACUGAAUAUAUUGUAUACAUUAUAUAAUUAUUCACACUGAAUUGUUUUGUUAGACACGUUUGCCACCGUAAUGUCUAACAAGUAUAAACACAAUGACGCAUGUGCCGAUUGCAGUGCUCCAGAUUCAGAUUGGGUAGUUGUAAAUCGUGGAUUGUACAUUUGUGAUGAAUGCUGUAGUAUUCAUCGUAGUAUUGGGCGACACAUAUCACAGAUCAAAAGUUUAAGUGCUGACUGGUGUCCAAUUACUUUGAAUAUGGUGAGAACUUUACAUCAAGCUAAUAUUAAUACACUUUGGGAACAUGCUUUAAGUGAUAAUAAGAAUCACAGAAAAAAACCUACUCCUAAGGAUCCACUACCAUUAAAAGAAGAUUUUAUACGUGCUAAACAUAGACAGCAGUUGUUCAUAUUAAAAAGUAGUGAUACUAGAGAAGAUUUAAAUCAACAAUUACAUUCUAGUGUCAGAACUUCAAAUCUAGAAACAAGCCUAAGAAUCUUAGCGCAAGGAGCUGAUCCUAAUUAUUAUCAUCCUGAAAAAGGAAAUUAUCCAUUACACGUAGCAGCUAAAGCAGGGCAAAUAUUACAGGCUGAAUUAUUACUUACCUAUGGAGCUGAUCCACGUGCUAUUGAUAGCAAUGGAAAUACUCCAGCAAUUUGUGCCAAGCUAUCUGGUCAUAAAGAUAUUAAUGAUAGACUAAAUGAUAGUAUGUAUGAAGUAUUAGAUGCUCUUUCAAUGUAUGUAUUUGGACAUAAAACAGAGCAUAAAAAUGAUGUAAAUAUGAUACCUUUUGAUCUAAAUGAUGAAUAUCUCAAACAAGAAGGUGAUCAACAAGAAGCUAUACAGAAGAUGCAACAGUUACCUAAUUACUUGUUUGAAGAUUUAGUGUUGGAUGUUUUUGAUGAAAUCGAUAGGAGAGAAACUGAAAAAAUUUGGCAACAAAAAAAUUCACAAGCUCAUAUUAUGUCAGUACCAUUUUUACCAGUAAAUCCUGAUUUAUCAUCAAUGAAAAAUCAAGGACGACAAAAAUUAGCUUGUUAUGGACAAAAAGAAUUUAAAAAUCUUGUUAUACAAAUUUUAAUUGAAAUUAAUAGAAGGACUCAACCAGUGAAUAAAAUUAUUUCGAAAUUAAAAUAUGAUGAUGAUGAACCACUUUAUGAUCAUGUUGCUUCUGAUGAAGACUAUGCAACACCUGAACAAAUUGCUGCAAUGAUGACAUUACAUGCUAAACCACCUACUGUUUUAAACAGUAAAGAAAAUAAUCUUAAAAUAGAAAAAAAUGUGAUUGAAGAAACUGUAGAUUCAAAUAAAGUGAAUAUGGAACAUACAGUGCCUAAUUUGCCAUUGUAUAAUAGUAAGGCCUUUGAAACAAAAUUAUCAGAGUCUGAGGCCAGAAUUUCCAAAUUGAUAGCUGAAAUUGAUUCACUGAAAAAAAAAGUUGAAGAAGUUACAAAAGAAAAUUUAGAAUUAAAAUGUGAAAUGUUACGACAAAAACAACCAGCACUGGUGAUCAAUGAAAACGAGUGUGGUGAUAUUAAACAACCUUUAAGACCUGUGUCAAUGUAUGAAACUCGGGAAGGAAUAAAAUGUGAUAUAAAUCGAAGUGCACAAACAAGUAGUUUACCAUUAUACGAAGAUGUUGUCCGUCAUACUGCUCAAGUAACUAAGGGUAUACAAGAACUAUGGACUAACAUAAGGUCAUCAGAAGCUUGUAAAGCAUUUGUUCCUGGUACUGAAAAAAUUAGGACUGCUGUAGUUGAACUUACUGCAAUAUUUCCACAUAGUAUUAAUGAUGACGUUUUGAAAUCAGCACUAUGGUCAUUGAAUACAAAUACUACUCAAUUACAACUUGAAUGUGCAUGUUUGGAAGCUGGUGUUGAAAGAGUGCGUGAUUGCUCAUUCAAUAUUGCAAAAGCUACUAAACAGCUUUUGACAAGGUUUUGACUAUAAUCAAUGAUAAUAAUGAACUAAUAAAUAUUUUUAAAGUUUAUAAAUAUACAUUUAAAUUUAAAUCAUUUACUAAGUUCCUUUUAAUUAUUUAUUAAUAAUAAUAUAUACAAACAGGGUAAUAUUUGUAUUAUAAUUUAAGUUUAAUUAAUAGAAUAUAUAUUAAGGUAUUAUUGAGCAUAAUAACUUUGUUUAUGAGUAUUUAUUGUAAAUUUUGCAGUUGGCACCUAAUAUUACUAAUAAUCUAUAAUAUUGUAUCCACUAUGCAUUUAUAAUUUACAAUUUACAUAAUCAUGUUAAUUUAAAGUUUAAUUCUUUAUCUUUAAAAUUCAGUAAAUGUUUAUUUUUUGUAUUUAAAAUUAUUUAUGAUGUUUUAACAAAUCAAAAGUUUAUAUUUGCUUAUAUUAUUAGAUUUAUAUUUUAAUAUAUUAAAUUAAUAAUAGUUAAAUUGUGUUGAGAUACUCAUUUUAAUUUCAUUGUUAAUAACAAAAGAGAAGUUAGAUCUUUAUACUAUAUAACAAUUCAUCUGUAUGUCUUCAUUAUAUAAUUGUUUUCUUAAAAAUUACUUGAUAUAGAAAUUAGUUUAUUGGACCAUUUUGAUUUGGUAAUUCUCAAUACUAUUUAAUAAAUGAAUUGCUUCGAAAAAAAAAAAAUCAAAUACAAAUAUUAGUGACAUGGGUGGCAAGCUGGGGCAUUUGUCCCCCCUGGCUUUUCAAAAAUAUGUUUUAAUUACUAUUUAUUAUAUAACAAAUCCUAAAAUUGGCCCCUAAUUGGCCCCUCAUAGAAAAAUUUCUGCGGCACCUAUGAUUGGUGAUGAUGGUGACUAUUGCUAUCAUCUUGUUUUAAAAGACACUUGAAAUCUUAGAUAUCUUCUAGUAUCUACUAGUAGUCCAGUUGUAGAUAACUGUGUGUAUCACAUAGCCUUUCCUAAAAUUGAUAGGUUAUAGGUACCAAACAAUUUUCCUUGGCUUGCUAACUAUAAAUAUAGUUACUAUCUUAUAUUCAAUGUAACGGUAUUAUAUAAAAUAUUAUACUUUUAUCCAAAUUUUCAUAAAUGUCAAUAAAUAAAGUUAAGUUUAUAUUUUUUGGAUUUUAUUGAUUCCAAUAUAAAUAUAUCCGAAAGAUUUUUAUAAUGACAUUGUUAAGUUUGCUGUUUGUGACUAAUUUAGUGACAUUUGAUAUAAUGUCAGUUGUCACUGCAUUCCAAGCAUGAAAUAGUAAUUUAUCUUUUUAUAGUUAUUACUUAUUAGACUGUAUAUUAUUAUUUGACCUGAGAUAAUUAUACUUAUUAUACUAAUUAUAAAAAAUAAUAAUUACUCUGCCUAUGUGUUACAGAGUCGUAGUUAUAAAUUGGAGUCCCCGGGGCAGUAUUAAAAAAAGUGUUAGCCCAAUGUCGUCAUCCUUUUGUCACCAAAAUUUUUAAUUUUUGCGAUUUUAUAUUAAAUGUGCUAUAUCCUACAGUACAGAGUACAGACGGUAUAAUCAACACACUCAUAUCAAUAAAAUAAAGUUUAAUGUAACUCUUUAAUUAAUUUUGCAUUGUUUAUAUUUUUUCAAUUGUUAAUAUAAAAGUUCAACUCAGUUAAUACUCUUACACGAAAUAAGAUAUAGGUAUUUUGCACUUUUUUUACAGUAUGAUGUGAAUUAUAAACAAAAUUAAAAUUAUAAAUACAAAUUGUAUUAACGAUGAUAGAGGGUCCUUCAAGUCCAGACCUCCGGUGUAUGUUUGUGUCUUGAAAGUUGCCACUCAGUAGUUACGCCAGUGCUAUGUGAUAACUGAUAAAGCUUAAAAUAAUAUAUAGGUAGAAAGUUGAGCUACACGUCACAGAGACUAGGUUAAAGGUAUGCCCUUAUUAAAUUUCACCCACACAAUAUUCGCGAACAUUGAACCAGUUAAUCGUGGUGUACGAGAAUAUCUCAUUCUAUCGCCGUGUCAGUAAACAUUUAUUAUCAGAAACCAAAAUAUGUUAUCAUGACAAUAAUAAUAUAUUUUAAUAUAUUAUUACCUACGUACGUAAGUUGUAUGUAAACACGAUUUUUAUAAGUAAAAAAUAUAUUGUGUGUAUGUGGUUGAUUUACAUUCGUUUUGCCAAAGAAUGUCACGUAAGUUUCGUGUAAAUUAUUCUUGAACAGCAUUCUACUGUCGUCUUGAUACCGUUUUAAUGCUGCUGACGAUACUGCGUUUAGCAAUCUCGCCAACUGUUUGCGUUUUGUAUGCAAAUUGAAGGAACGCACUCGAAUACGAUUUUUCUUUUCGGAAAGCCAUGGCUUACC